GGAGAAGUAUCGAAGUGGUCAUAACGAGCUCGACUCGAAAUCGAGUUGGCGGUAACACGCCACGUGGGUUCGAAUCCCACCUUCUCCGCCA
rnacentral:tRNA from 23 species